rnacentral:piRNA from 1 species
UCAAAAAGGUGACAAUGAGAACCACUCAUUC